UAGUGUAUGUUAAUAAUUAAAAUGGCGAUUUGAGAAUCAUAUUCUUGAGUGUUAUUAUAUUAUUUGCGUAAAAUAUUGAUAGAAGACUUCAAAUAGUCGUUUUUAUACAGCAGUGUUGAAUAUUUAGUUGAGUUUACCAUGCGUUCAGUAGUAGAAAUUGGGGCCAGUGUGCCUGCGUUUCUAGGAAAAUUAUGGAAACUGGUCAACGAUACAGAGACCAAUCAUCUGAUUUCCUGGAGCCCUGGCGGGAAAACAUUUGUCAUAAAAAACCAGGCAGACUUUGCAAGGGAACUCUUACCUUUAUAUUACAAACAUAACAAUAUGGCAAGCUUCAUUAGGCAGUUGAAUAUGUAUGGAUUUCAUAAGAUUACUUCUGUGGAAAAUGGUGGCUUACGAUAUGAAAAGGAUGAAAUAGAAUUCUCACACCCUUGCUUCAUGAAAGGACAUGCAUAUCUUUUAGAACACAUUAAAAGAAAGAUUGCCAACCCAAAGUCAAUAGUAACUAGCAAUGAAAGCGGAGAGAAAGUACUUCUGAAACCAGAGCUGAUGAACAAAGUGCUGUCUGACGUGAAACAAAUGAAAGGCAAGCAGGAGAGUCUGGAUGCCAAGUUCAGUGCCAUGAAACAGGAAAAUGAAGCUUUGUGGAGAGAAGUUGCUAUUCUGAGACAGAAGCACAUAAAACAACAGCAAAUUGUUAACAAUCUUAUUCAAUUCCUUAUGUCACUGGUUCAACCGACUAGGCCACCCAAUGCAACUGGAAACAAUGUGGGAGUAAAGAGACCAUACCAAUUGAUGAUCAACAGUGCAGCACACAAUUCUGGUACAGACGGAUCUUACCCUGGCAGAUCAAAGAACAUGAAAUUAGACAGAGAUAAUUUAUUGGAUGAGUUAAAUGAGGAUAAUUUGGAGGAUGGACCUACCAUUCAUGAGCUGGCACAUGAUGAUAUCAUGCACAAUGAAAACACUCAGGACUCCAUGCCUGGAAACGAUUUCAUUACAGUGGAUAUACCUAACAUGACAAAUGCUACCACUAGCCAUAGCCCAAAUGACCCCUCUGCCUCCAUAUACCAUGUCACAAUGGAAGAUGGGGAUGAUGCUGAAACAGGUGCAAACCGAUUGGUAUAUCCAGUAGCACGUACCAAUGGUAUGAAUAGGACACCAGAAAGCAUGCCGAUCAUUACAUCAGCAUCUCCAACACCACUCGCAACUUCUUCAAUGGACCAGAAUGGAUUAGAUCAGGUUGUAAACAAUGUGAUGGGCUCACCGUCACCAAUCGUUGUAAAAGUUGAGGGACACGUGCCAACUAAGACGAAAGGUCGUACCAAUCCCGCAAACAAGAGUACUGUUACAUCUGCAGGCAAAAGUCUAUCAUCAGGAAACUACAACACACUAAACCCAUCAGCUGACUUGAAACUGCCAGCAGAAAUCUUUGCCAGUGAUGAUUCAGUCAGCGAUGCUGGAGUAGCGGCUGCUGAUGACCUUACCAUGCAAAAUGCACUACAAGAUUUAGUUGAUGAGUCCCUACUAUCAACAUCAAAAGAUAAAAUGCUUGGUGGUAUCAAUAUUAAAGUAGAAAGGCUAGGAGAACCAUUAAAAGCUAAUAGGAAAUCUAAGAAAGGUAACAAAAGUACUGAAAACACCUUGAAUUUGGCUGAUAUUAAAACGGAAUUCCAGGAUGACUUUGAUUGGAACAAUAUGACUCUAGCAACUGUCAACAACAAUACUAAUAGGUUCCAGACAAGGAAUAGGAGAGAUAACCUCAGCAAAAAUCGGGAGGAAUAUUCUUCCCUCUUUGGAACAAAUUCAAACAAGAAUGAUAUUGAUGACCAUUUGGAUGCGAUGCAAACAGACCUUGAAUCGCUAAGAGACCUGCUACGAAGUGACAGCUACGCAUUUGACACCAAUACGUUGUUGGGGCUAUUUGGGUCUGAUGACCCCUUCUACGGCCUGCCCUAUAACUCGAUGGAAGACAGGGCAAAAUCUGCUAAUAAUGGUGAGUUUCGUUCUUUAAUUUUUUGACUGAUUUUUUUCACAAAAAAUGCCUGCUAACAUUCAAACGAAGCAGUUUCCAAUGUCUAAAUACUUCGUCAUUCUAACAUUGAGAAGCAUUAAUUGCAUUGGGCAACACCAGGGUUGCUAAAUCGCUCAUAAUAACACAUAAUAUUUGCACUAGCAAAUAAAACCAGGUAAUUAUUUCACUUACUCAAACACAUUGUACACCAAUAGAGCUUGUAGGAAUUGAGUGAUUUGGGCACGAUUGCAAUUCAAAUAAGCUUAUGUCCAAGGUGUAUGCCAGUCUUGUUUGAUGAUUAUGUAUGACAGAGUAUAUACCUUACCUACAACAUCACUCCAACCAAAAUGCACACGCACGACUUCCAUCAACAAAUCAUUGCGAUCUCAAAGGCUAGAACAUAUCUGCAUGUGUUUUCAGAGUUAUAUUUCACGUUUAUGUUAAUUGUAGAUACAACCAAACAGUAUCCGAUGAUUGAUUUUGAUUGGCUGAUCGGUAACAGCGAGGCCUCCUCUACAAAGUAGCCUGUUGCUACAUCAACUUGCAAGUUUUCAACGCUGACCGCGUCUCAGCCACGUGACGUGGUGGAUAUUUUUGGUAAAGGGUUAAUAUAGCCGUGGUGUUCUGGUCAGUGCUACGGACGAUAGGUAGACUGUCGCGACAAAAGUGACUCGAUUAGGGGUUCGCUCUCGAUUGACUCAAUUCGUCUCAAAAACGCAAUUUGUGCAGAACAGUGUAAAUUUCAUAUCAAUUUAUAUCAAAAAUUUUAUAUUAUAUGUAUGUAAAUAUUGUUAUCACAACUUUAAGAAGAUAGUAGUUGGGGAGAGUUAAGGCUCAACAGUUUACUGUGAGUUAUUGGGAAUAGACUAACGCACAAUGCCACAAAGUGGAUUAAUAUUUAAGAUUAUCAUUUUUGCCGCGACAUACAGACAAUUCCUUCUGUGAGCAUUAAGUGUAUGCCUAAGUUAUCUUGUUAAAAUAAGACAGUUUAAAUCUAUAAAUGUUAUAUUGUUAACCGUAAUUAUAUUUUAUUGUUAAUUAAAGCAAAGAAGCAGAAAGGUGAGAUUUCGAAUGUAAGCAGUGACGACACUCGCGUCCAGAACCUGUUUACUGAGGAUAAUGGUAGUAAUUCAGCUCUCGCAUUCUUAUUGCAAAUGUAGAAUUAUAAAAAUAUAAUUUUGCACGAUUUAACUGUAGACAUUGAUUUACACUCUGAAAUUUUUUAAACUGGAACCGAUGAUCCAAACUUUAGUGUCCUGCUUAUGUUUAAGUACAUGUUAGUGCUUAUUUUUUUUCAGAGGCAAUUAUGUUUUAAGUUAUACUUCAUCAUCGGUUUCUGAAAUUUACGUUAGUAUUAUAUUGUUUAUGUUAUCUGAGAAAGCGUACUGCAUUAUAUUUACUUCAAUUAUUUUUAAAUGCUACGCGCUGAUAGUACCAUUACUCUGCAGCUGCAUUUCAUAGCGUUUAACUUUAUGUUCAUUUUGUUUAUAAACUUUGGGCGUGGGUUGUAUGUAUAUCGUACGUAGUGAUCUAGCAUAAGUUCGAUGUUAUGUUAUAGGUAUGAUAUUGCUCUCAAACAUAUACCUAUUUAGUAUUAAGGAUUGACAAAUAUAUUUUUAUGUACUAUUUAGUUAUUGAUUGCUUUUAAAGUAUUCGCAUGGUUGAUUAUGACAUUGUUAUACCUAUAAAAAGUUUACCAUUAUUGUUAUAUGCUAUAGAUAACGUAGAUCCUCUAGUAUUUUUAGGAGACCUAUCUAUAAUUCAAUGUUAGUAUGUAGUUAACUGCAGUCGGUUUAUAAGUUCAUAUUUAAAAAAUAUUAAUAAUAUUUUUUUGGGCAACUUUCAGUUGAAGGGAAUCAGCUAAUCUCGUAUACAGGGAAUAUUCCAGACUUUGAGGAUAUAAACAUGCCAGAUCUGGAGUGCGAUAAUUCUCAGGAGCCUUGCGUGUUACCCAGCCCCAGCAGCUCGACGCUAAACACGCCGCAGAUGCAGAUACGAUCGCCCUCCUUUACUUUGAAACCAUGAGGAAAGCCUAAAAAACGGCGACACAAGAAGAAACGUUCGUCCAAACAGUGAAAUUCUUAAUAUUUCACUUUAGUUAAACUUGUGUGUGACUGACUUUUAUAACUGAUUAGUGUAGUCUAUACAUGUAGCCGAGAAAGAAAAACAAAAAUAAAAUAUACAAUUAGAUUUAGGGGCCGUCAUCACAAGUUUUUAUUGGUUUGCUAUUUAGACGAACUGAUUCAGUGAAAAUAUUUUUACUAUGUAAACUUUUCAAGAAAGACCAUAAAUAAGUUUAUAGUUAUCUGCUUGGACACUGUUUUCCAUAAACAGAGCAUGAUUUAUAAUCUUGUUUCUCUAAAUAGAUUAACGUUUGCUUUGAUCAAUAACUUACAAAAUUUAACCAAAAAAGAUAGGUAUAAGUUGUUACAAGGAAUAUUGUAUUGAUUUGUAAAAUAAUGCAGCAAGAAAAGCUUUAUCUAACAUAUAUUAAUACUUUGCAUCAAAAAUAUUGAUUCGCACAUUCAACCUCAAAAUUUACUGUACGAAAUCUACAAAAUAGUCUGAUGAUGGGUAUUUAUUAACUUUAAAUUAUAAUAUUCUAGUUGCCUGAAUAUAAUCUCGUAUAUUGAACAAAAACUUGAUCCAAAUAUAAGUUUUUAUAUAAUAUGGAUUUUGUAAAAUAUUAGGAUAGUAAUAUGUAUUUAUAUCUCAUGACUGAGGUUCAUUGCACAGUUCGAAUAUAAGUGCUUCUAAACAUAAUAAUUACAAGUGUAAAUGGAACUUAUCCCCACAAAAAUUAGUAAUA